CUCUCACUCAUCUCGCCCUCUCUAUCACUCUGUCACGCUCACGCUCAGAGCUGAGUGCUCCUCUUGCUUAUUUCACACAGCACAAACUCAUAAUAUCCCUUUCAUCACCCAGAUGACGUCGUUUGCUUCAGUUUCCUCCAAAGAACAACUUGGAGUUGAGAAUCAUUUCUCAUUCUCACAGUUGGCUCUGCGUGCAACUGUGUCUAAGUGAUGAGUAGUCGAGCAGUGGAAGACGACGCACUGGCGAAAGCCGCAAGAGCUACCGAAGAUCUUUACCUCCUCCGAGACACCUACUUUCUGGUCGACCUAGAUGACAAAAUCUCUAGAUUAAACGUCGAUUCCGAUCUUGCUCUCAACCUCCUCGAUUCCAUUCCUCUUGAUAAUUUUUCCAUUUACCCAUUUCGUUUUAAUCUCUGUUAAUUCCAUUUGAAGCUGACCUAAGUGCCCUUUUAUUAUAAACCUGAUUUGUGCCUUUCUCUUUUGUGGGUUUUUGUUGAUAUGCUUGUUUCAACUUUGAAGUUCCAAUUUUGGACUACAUUGGUACACAUAGAAGCUUAAACUUUGAAAAAUAGACUAAAAAGUUGAUGAAUUCAAAAUCUCCCCCUAAUAAAAGUGUUGUUUCUGUAACGAUAAUGCCUACAUUGUGUUCUCAAAUCGUUGUCAUUGCUAAUUCCUUUGUUAUUAUGUUGCAUUUGUAUUUGUAUCUUAUUAGUUCAAGUUUCAAAAACUGUGUCUUUUACCAGAGCAAAGAAAACAUCCGGCUCAACGUGCGAAAUACGAAUAUCUGAGAGGAAAGAUAUUGGAUAUUUUACCGAAUUAUAGAAAAGAAGCAAAGUGAUCAUCUCUCAACAGCUGUAAGAAUGCAUUGUGACUUCUUGUAGUUGAGCAUGUUUGUAAUGCUUUCAGUUCACUUCCUGAAAUAAAUUAAAUGACAAUGCAGGUUAAGUUGAAUCCAUCUUUUGCAGAUGCUUGGCUAUGUUUAGGUAACUGCAUUUGGAAGAAGGGAGAUCUAUCUUCAACCAAAAACUGCUUUAAUCUUGCCCUAAGCAAGGUUAUUCUUGAUUAGAUUCUUGUAGUUUUAUUGCAGUGACCUCUCAAUUCAUUGUACUAUAACUUUUAUGAUUGAUAUGUGCAUUGCGUUUGGAGGUAGGGUCCAAACAGGCAAAUACUUUGUCAACUUUCGAUGCUUGAAAGAAAAAUGGCUCAAGGCAACCGUUUUGUCGCUCAACUUGUUUUUCUUGUUGUUUUUCAUGAUGUGUGCAUCAUUAUGCUUACCUAAUUUUCAUCAUUUUUCUGGGGACCGACAAUGAAGCAGAACUUGUUGAUGAAAGCAUUCAACAUGCCAAGGAAGCCAUAACUCUUGAUGUCAAGGAUGGCAAUUCAUGGUACAAUCUUGGAAAUGCAUGUCUUACAAGUUUCUUUGUGACUGGAGCUUGUGAUCAUUCCAAACUUCUGCAAUCUUGGAAGGCAUACCAAAAUGUUGAAAAGGAUGAAAGAAUGCAGUCCAAUCCAGACCUAUAUUUUAACUGUGCCACUGGAAGC